GAAGCUUUGGAUGAGUUUGGCAAACCAUGGCAGUUGAAUGAAGGGGAUGGUGCAUUCUAUGGACCGAAGAUAGACAUCAGUGUAUCUGAUGCAUUGAGUAUGACACAAUUUUUAAAGUUAUAUUUAUUUUUUUAUUAUUUAACAAGUGCUCUAAGAAUACUUGUUAUUAUUUUCUUAAUUUUAUAGUCAUACACAUUUGUGUGCAUUAUUUGCUUUUCAACUUGAGAGUAUAUCUGACGAUGUGAUAA